rnacentral:rRNA from 1 species
GUGGGGAAUAUUGGACAAUGGGCGCAAGCCUGAUCCAGCCAUGCCGCGUGAGUGAUGAAGGCCUUAGGGUUGUAAAGCUCUUUCAGUGGGGACGAUAAUGACGGUACCCACAGAAGAAGCCCCGGCUAACUUCGUGCCAGCAGCCGCGGUAAUACGAAGGGGGCUAGCGUUGUUCGGAUUUACUGGGCGUAAAGCGCACGUAGGCGGAUCGUUAAGUCGGGGGUGAAAUCCUGGAGCUCAACUCCAGAACUGCCUUCGAUACUGGCGAUCUUGAGUCCGGAAGAGGUGAGUGGAACUCCUAGUGUAGAGGUGGAAUUCGUAGAUAUUAGGAAGAACACCAGUGGCGAAGGCGGCUCACUGGCUCGGUACUGACGCUGAGGUGCGACAGCGUGGGGAGCAAACAGGAUUAGAAAACCGGGUAGUCC